GGAUCAAUACUCCAUAUUGGUUCCAAGGAAGAAGAGUGGUAAGGGCUUGGCAAUGGGGGUUAAAUGACUUGCCCAGGGUCACACAGGUAGGAAGAGUCUGAGGUCAAAUUCAAAUCUAGUACCUCCUGUCUCUAGGCCUGGCUCUUAAUCCACUGAGCCACCCAGCAAGGCCCUUUAAGUUUUUUUCACUGUGAUUUAUGUUUUAAUUUCUUCUUUCUUUAGUGAGAGGAAGGGAAGGAAGGGGUGAAAUAGCUGGGAACUGUAAUGAAACAAACAAAUAAAAAAAUAAAUUUAUAAACAAAAUUUAAAAAUAUAUAAUUACCUGUCUUUCCUGUGUCAGGUACAAUGUUAUACACUGAAGCCUUUCUGAUUCCUUUUGGGUAGAAUGUAAAAUAGACAGGCAGGAAACCCAAACUUUUAUAAAUUUCCGUAGGGGUGUUCAAGAUGGUAGUAUAAAAAGCCAAUAAGUCUGAAAAAAAAAAGAGUAUGAGCUUACUCUUUUUUUUUUUAAACCCUUUCCUUCCAUUUUGGAGUUAAUACUGUUUAUUGGCUCCAAGGCAGAAGAGUGAUAAGGGGUUGGCAAUGGGGGUCAAGUGACUUGUCCAGGGUCACACAGCUGGGAAGUGUCUGAGGCCAGAUUUGAACCUAAGACCUCCCGUUUCUAGGCCUGGCUCUCAAUCCACUGAGCCACCCAGCUGCCCCCUGAGUUUACUCUUUAGAAGCCAGGAUCCCUCAGAACUAAACUCCUACUGUAAACAAAUACAGAUCUAAAAGAUCCCUUGAUAGGAGGGGCCAGAACCAAAGUUAAUUAUUCUUCUCUGUGUAUAUAUCUCAUCAAUAGGAAGAAAGCUUGUUUCAAACAUCUCAAACCCACGAUAGGGCUUUGCACACUUUAUGUGCUUAAUAAAAUGUUUGUUGAAUUGAAUUAAAGUCAGUUAAAUUGAAAUCAACAACAAAGGAAUAGUAUUUUCGAAUGGUUUUAGGGAAGAUUUUCCUAAAUCAUAGUUUGAGUGGUCACAAAAGUACAUUUCUUCAUCAGUGAAUGCCUAUGAUUAGAAAAAAGUAGCCCUGGGCCAUAUCCAUAGGCCAUAGGAUAAACUAUUCUUGUACUCAGAUGAAUUUAGUAUAACUUUCCCUGUCUCUAUCUAUGUAUAUAUGUGUACUUGCACAUAUAUGCAAAUAUAUGCAUGCAUAUAUGUACACAUAUUCUUAAUAAAUAUAUAUGCAUAUAUGUGUUUAUGUGCUGUAUUAUUACCACCAAUAAUAAUCACUGGCACUUACAAAAAUUAUAAAGUUUUCCAAUAAUUUUCAAUGGAUUAUUAUUUCAUUUGAACUUUAAAUAGUCCUCUGAGGUAGGUCCCACAUAUGUUAUUAUCCCCUUUUUCCAGAGGAGGAAAAUAAGGAUCAUCACUGAUGAUUUGACUUUUGACUUCCCUAUAUUCAUAGUGCUGGUAAAUGUCAUAGGUAGGAUUUGAACUCAGGUGGUUGUAAACAUAAAUCUAGCCCUCUGUUGACCAUGCGUUCCAUGAGGUUAUGCCUAUUGUUAGAUUUUAGUUGACAGAAUCUAUAGUAGAUAGCAGCCUUCUCCCUGUUAGAUUUCAAUGACCAGAAGGAGAAUUUUUCCUUAUGAUAGAAUGUCUUACAGUUCAAUCCCUCCAUGUCCAACUAAUUAAUAUUGACAUUCCUAGUCAGAGAACAUGGUGGGAGCUACACUCUGAAUUCCACUAAUAGAAUAGAUAAGUCAAAAGAGUAAAUUAAAAUUGGCCUAAAGUUAUUCUCUAGAUGACAGAAAUGACCACAUUUGACCACAGGUUAACAUGCCCCUAUAUCCAGAAUUUCCAUCAUAUCCAAUGAUUAUCUUCAUCAACUACAUUUAGGGUGAGGAAUAGGAUGUUUGAAAACUACCAGACUGGUAAAUUUCAUCCAAUCCAAGUGUAUAAGGUUAUAAAAUUUUACUUAUUACUUUGCUGGCGAAUAAAGCGGGGCAGGUAGUAUUGUGUGUGAUUGGAAGAGAGGGUCCACAGUGUAGACCACAUACUGAUUGAUUUUUCUUAACAUCCAUUCACACUUAUUCUCUGUGAAUUUUCUCAGCCAGAACAAAGACCCAAGAGAUCUGGACUCUUAUCCUUACAUCCUGCAUUAAAUCCAAAGUAUCAUCAUCAUGAGCUUGUGGACAGUAUGUUGAUGAAACUGAGAUAGACAGAAGCUAAUUGACUUGCCACAAGGGACUUAUCUAGUGGAUGUCUGAGGUUGGUAUGAACUUUGGUCUUCCUGGCUCUCUACUCUGCUACUUAGUGCCUUUUCCAUAGUUACACAUGUAGUUAAUUGUUGGUGAUUGGACUUAAACCAAAGCCCUAAUG